GACGAACGCUGGCGGCGUGCCUAAUACAUGCAAGUUGAGCGCUGAAGGUUGGUACUUGUACCUACUGGAUGAGCAGCGAACGGGUGAGUAACGCGUGGGGAAUCUGCCUUUGAGCGGGGGACAACAUUUGGAAACGAAUGCUAAUACCGCAUAAAAACUUUAAACACAAGUUUUAAGUUUGAAAGAUGCAAUUGCAUCACUCAAAGAUGAUCCCGCGUUGUAUUAGCUAGUUGGUGAGGUAAAGGCUCACCAAGGCGAUGAUACAUAGCCGACCUGAGAGGGUGAUCGGCCACAUUGGGACUGAGACACGGCCCAAACUCCUACGGGAGGCAGCAGUAGGGAAUCUUCGGCAAUGGACGAAAGGCUGACCGAGCAACGCCGCGUGAGUGAAGAAGGUUUUCGGAUCGUAAAACUCUGUUGGUAGAGAAGAACGUUGGUGAGAGUGGAAAGCUCAUCAAGUGACGGUAACUACCCAGAAAGGGACGGCUAACUACGUG
rnacentral:rRNA from 1 species